CGGAGGAUACAAGCGUUAUCCGGAUUUAUUGGGUUUAAAGGGUGCGUAGGUGGUUUUAAGUCAGUAGUGAAAGCUUAUAGCUCAACUAUAAAUGGCUAUUGAUACUGAAAACUAGAGUAAUAUUGGAGUAACUGGAAUGUGUGGUGUAGCGGUGGAAUGCAUAGAUAUCACACAGAACACCAAUCGCGAAGGCAGGUUACUAAGUAUUUACUGACACUGAGGCACGAAAGCAUGGGGAGCAAACAGGAUU
rnacentral:rRNA from 1 species